rnacentral:rRNA from 1 species
CCUAUGGGAGGCAGCAGUGGGGGAUAUUGCACAAUGGGGGGAACCCUGAUGCAGCGACGCCGCGUGGGUGAAGAAGCGCCUCGGCGCGUAAAGCCCUGUCAGCAGGGAAGAAAAUGACGGUACCUGAAGAAGAAGCCCCGGCUAACUACGUGCCAGCAGCCGCGGUAAUACGUAGGGGGCAAGCGUUAUCCGGAUUUACUGGGUGUAAAGGGAGCGUAGGCGGUGCAGCAAGUCAGGAGUGAAAGCCCGGGGCUCAACUCCGGGACUGCUUUUGAAACUGUUGGACUAGAUUGCAGGAGAGGUAA